ACUCCUACGGGAGGCAGCAGUGGGGAAUAUUGCACAAUGGGCGCAAGCCUGAUGCAGCCAUGCCGCGUGUAUGAAGAAGGCCUUCGGGUUGUAAAGUACUUUCAGUCAGUGAGGAAGGUGGUAUGUUAAUAGUACAUACUCAUUUGACUGUUAGCUUGCAGAAGAAGACACCGCCGUAACUCCGUGCCAGCAGCCGCGGUAAUACGGAGGGUGCGAGCGUUAAUCGGAAUUACUGGGCGU
rnacentral:rRNA from 1 species